ACGCUGGCGGCGUGCCUAAUACAUGCAAGUAGAACGCUGAAGGAGGAGCUUGCUUCUCUGGAUGAGUUGCGAACGGGUGAGUAACGCGUAGGUAACCUGCCUGGUAGCGGGGGAUAACUAUUGGAAACGAUAGCUAAUACCGCAUAACAGUAGAUGUUGCAUGACAUUUGCUUAAAAGGUGCAAUUGCAUCACUACCAGAUGGACCUGCGUUGUAUUAGCUAGUUGGUGGGGUAACGGCUCACCAAGGCGACGAUACAUAGCCGGCCUGAGAGGGUGAUCGGCCACACUGGGACUGAGACACGGCCCAGACUCCUACGGGAGGCAGCAGUAGGGAAUCUUCGGCAAUGGACGGAAGUCUGACCGAGCAACGCCGCGUGAGUGAAGAAGGUUUUCGGAUCGUAAAGCUCUGUUGUAAGAGAAGAACGAGUGUGAGAGUGGAAAGUUCACACUGUGACGGUAUCUUACUAGAAAGGGACGGCUAACUACGUGCCAGCAGCCGCGGUAAUACGUAGGUCCCGAGCGUUGUCCGGAUUUAUUGGGCGUAAAGCGAGCGCAGGCGGUUAGAUAAGUCUGAAGUUAAAGGCUGUGGCUUAACCAUAGUACGCUUUGGAAACUGUUUAACUUGAGUGCAAGAGGGGAGAGUGGAAUUCCAUGUGUAGCGGUGAAAUGCGUAGAUAUAUGGAGGAACGCCGGUGGCGAAAGCGGCUCUCUGGCUUGUAACUGACGCUGAGGCUCGAAAGCGUGGGGUGCAAACAGGAUUAGAUACCCUGGUAGUCCACGCCGUAAACGAUGAGUGCUAGGUGUUAGACCCUUUCCGGGGUUUAGUGCCGCAGCUAACGCAUUAAGCACUCCGCCUGGGGAGUACGACCGCAAGGUUGAAACUCAAAGGAAUUGACGGGGGCCCGCACA
rnacentral:rRNA from 1 species